CUGUGUGACAGUAAACACAGUGUCUUUUGGUUGUGGACAAAAAAAUACAUUUAACAACUAAUCAAGUAAUUGAGAAAACAGUCAUUAGUUGUAGCCCUAUUUUUUUAAAAAUGUAGUUCCUUUUAUACAAAACUCUCUGCUCUUUGGUAUUUCCUUCCUGUUUGGAUUUUAUUCAAGUAGAAAGAUGGGUAGAAAACAAAGCUGCACAUCAAGUACAUUGUGCAGAAAUCCUCCAGUUGUUUUCAUGUGUCAGAUUAUGUUUUGCUUUUAUUACAGGGAGAAGCCCAGAUUCAUUACAUCUGUGCCACUGAGGAUUUAUUCAUUGGAAAUGAAAGGGGGAAAAGGAUAACCUCAUGCACUGUGAAGACAUGAGAGGACCAAGGAGCACGUGAAGAUGUCCCAGAAGGCAACUAAAACAUGGUGCCUUAGGCUUCUCCCACUUCUCCUUUUCGUCAUCUCCUUGGUCGGUACUACCUUACCUAUGCCAUACUUGAGAGCUACAGAGGCACCAGCACUACUCUGAACAGUAGCAAGUCAUUGUGUGGUGGCUGGCUAGCCCAGAAGAAGUGGGAGAGCCUUAACUUUAAGUGAGUAAUGGCAUGUCUGUGUUUUUUAACUGGAGGGAGUGGGUGGCUUAUUAAGGGAGAAAGGUAUGCCAACAUUUUCAUUUGAACACAAGUGCCAGGCUCCUUGGAAAUGUUAGGACUAAAGGCAUGAAGGAAAAGUUUUAAACACUUUAGUGAGAGAGAACAGGACUCAUUAUAAAAAGGGAUUUUCCAUUUGAAUCAUGAUUACAGUAAGUGUAAGAGUGUAACCUCAACGUGGACAACAAUAUCCUUUUCUUGGAGCCAGACAAUAGU